UACGGGGGGGGCAAGCGUUGUUCGGAAUUACUGGGCGUAAAGGGCUCGUAGGUGGCCAACUAAGUCGGACGUGAAAUCCCUCGGCUUAACCGGGGAACUGCGUCUGAUACUGGAUGGCUUGAGUUCGGGAGAGGGAUGCGGAAUUCCAGGUGUAGCAGUGAAAUGCGUAGAUAUCUGGAGGAACACCGGUGGCGAAGGCGGCAUCCUGGACCGACACUGACGCUGAGGAGCGAAAGCCAGGGGAGCAAACGGG
rnacentral:rRNA from 1 species